rnacentral:rRNA from 1 species
CAGUAGCCGCGGGAAUACGUAGGUGGCAAGCGUUGUCCGGAAUUAUUGGGCGUAAAGGGCUCGCAGGCGGUUUCUUAAGUCUGAUGUGAAAGCCCCCGGCUCAACCGGGGAGGGUCAUUGGAAACUGGGAAACUUGAGUGCAGAAGAGGAGAGUGGAAUUCCACGUGUAGCGGUGAAAUGCGUAGAGAUGUGGAGGAACACCAGUGGCGAAGGCGACUCUCUGGUCUGUAACUGACGCUGAGGAGUGAAAGCGUGGGGAGCGAACAGGAUUAGAUACCCCGGUAGUCCCUGUCUCUUAUAC